GCCACCAUUGUCAGAAAAUAGAUUAUCAUCACCACGGAAAACAUUAGUUUAAAAAAUAAAUAAGGUGUCAGACACUUGCAAAAUUGUAUUUGGCUAGAAAUGUUAAAAGGAAAUCUCUCCCAAGUAAAUAGAAUUAACUUUGAGGGAUAAAGAUAAGAUAUUUUACUUUGGCAAGAAGGAACAAAAGGUUUACAAAGUAGAUGACAGUGCAUUAGCU
rnacentral:misc_RNA from 1 species